AUGGCCUCCUCCGCCCCCCAGAUGGCGGCGGCCGCGCCGGAGAAUAGACCUCCCCGCUCGCUCUUCGACCUCCCCUCGGACUUCUUCGACUCGUAUGUACUCUUCCGGUCCCACCCCGCCUUGGCCCCUUCCCCAGCGGAGCCGUCCGAACCCUCCAGGCCGGCGCCGGCGCCGUUGCAGCAGCAGCAACCGCCGGAGGCCGGGGGGUUCCGGUGGACGUGUAAAACCUGCGCCGGCGAAUUCGAUUCACUGCAGGAGCAGCGCGAGCACUUCAAGUCCGAUCUCCACCGCCUCAACGUUAAGCUGAGUGUUGCUGGUAAAUCUAUUAUCAAGGAAGAAGACUUGGAAAAAAUUGAUUCUGAUUCUCUAUUUGACGAUUUGGAGGUAUCUAGUGUAUCUGGUUCUGAGGACGAAAGGGAAGAUGUGCCUGCAUCGGAUCACCGGCUCUCAGUUAAAGGCAAGGAAGACUUCAGGAAGAAACUUUUUUUUCAUGGUCAUUCUGGUGACACAGUUUCUUUUUGGAGAUGCGUACUGUUCAAAGAACAUGAAGAACCAUUUUUUGACUGCAAAUCUGGAAAAAUGGAAAAUCACGGGUCUACAUCGUAUGUGCAUGAAGAUGAGAUGAUAAAUAGAGUGAAGCAGUUGGCAUGUGAACCUCGCAAUGCAUCGCAUUUGAGGAUCAUUAUAUUAACAAGUGGUGGACAUUUUGCUGGAUGUGUUUUUGAUGGAAACAAAAUAUUAGCAAAUAAAACUUUUCACAGGUAUGUUGUAAGGGCAAAGGCUGGAAAGAGGCAGUCUGGAAAAGAUGCUACUGGAAAGGUUGCACACUCAGCGGGCUCCUCUCUUCGCCGCUAUAACGAAGCAGCAUUGAAAAAGGAAGUUCAAGAAUUAAUAGUUUCUUGGAAGCCAUACUUUGACGCCUGUGUUUGUGUCUAUAUAUACGCUCCAUCAAAGAACCGCCAGAUGCUCUUUGAUGGGGAUAAGGCUCAAUCGGUAUUGCAAGCAUGUGAUAUUCGUCCACUCCCUUUGACUGUUCAUCGGCCCACCUUGAAAGAAGCGAAACGCGUAUACAAUAACCUAACACAGCUCUAUUAUGAGACGGAAUGCUCUAUUAUGGGUGAAGUAUUACCCCUUGUGGAAAAUGUGACAAAGUUUGUGCAAAGUACAGAAGCAAGGGAAGAAAUAAGUGUGGCCCCUGAGGAACCUAUUUUGGACUCAUCGAGUUCGCAUGAAGCAAUGGCCAUACCAUCUAAUAAUGCAACAACACCUCUCCAUGAAGCUGCAAAGGCUGGCAAUGUUGAACAAACUAUGGAAUUGCUCGAGCAGGGUUUGGAUCCUUGUAUCAAAGAUGAAAGAGGAAAGACACCUUACCUGCUGGCUUCAGACAAAGAAGUCAGAAAUACGUUCAGAAGAUUCAUGGCGCUCAACCUUGACAAAUGGGAUUGGCAUGCUGCUGAGGUGCCUAGUGCAUUAACAAAGGAAAUGGAAGAAUCACAAGCUGCAAAACAGGCAGAGAAGGAUGCCAAGAAGAAAGCCAGAGCAAAGGAACUGAAGAAACAAAAGAAGGCUAGAGAGAAGGAAAAGGAAAAGGAAAAGGAAAAAGAGAAGGCGCUAGCAGCGCAAUCACAACCUGUUGCUAAAGGCAUUUCAGUUGGCCAAAUGGGCAAACCAACUGCUUCUGUGUCAGGCCUGAAACAUAAGAAUCCCCAGGCUGUUGCUCUUUCUAUGCAGGAGGAACGAGACCGAAAACUCGCUGACGAAAGAGAGAAAAGAGCAGCGGCAGCGGAAAGAAGGCUCGCGGCGCUAGCAGUUCAAUCAGGGCCCUCGACCGCGGCGGGCAGCUCCACGCAGACAACAACAGCGGCAAACGACGCUGCAUGUUCAUGCUGUUUCUCAUCCCUGGCAGGCAAGGUACCAUUCCAUAGGUACAGCUACAAGUACUGCAGCACUACAUGUAUGCAUCUCCAUUCAGAAAUGCUGGAAGAUGACUGA
rnacentral:rRNA from 1 species